UUUUCAUACUAUUGUAUCUAUUUCUAUAGAAAUAACUGAAAAUGUGUGUGUUUUUUAACCUUUAAUAUUUGUAGUAGAUACACAAUAGACAUCACCAACCUUAUAACUAGGUCAGUUCUCUCUGUGGCCUGAAUGUGUGAAUUAUUUUUGGUUUAUAUAUUGCAUAGUUUAAAAAAAUAUUUUUCAGAAAAUUUAAUACCUUAACAUUUUUUAUUUAAAGUUUAAUACUCAAUAUUUCCUGAGACUUGGAUACCUUUCUUUUAUUUUUUGUGGUACUGGGGGUUGAACCCAGGGCCUCAUACAUGCUAGGCAAGGAAGUGACCACCAUACUAUAUUCCCAGUCCAGAAUUGUACACCUUUCUAAUUAAUCUAGAAUUUGAAAUGGAGGAAAAUUUUGUGAAACACAGAGUUUUAACUUUUGUCAGUAUUAUUUAUAGCUUAUAAUAUAUAAUGAAAAAUUGGAUAUUAGCAAUUCAUCAGUGAGUUGAGGUCAUAAGUUUUAAUUAUCUUGUGUAUUGUUUAAGAAGCAAAUUAAUAUGUAUUUCCAGAAUCCUUUGUCUAGCAUAUCUUA
rnacentral:lncRNA from 1 species